CAGUGACUGUCGCUGGCCCGCCGCGCCGUCAGAUUCCUCCCGGCCCGAGCCCGACCAGCAGCGAGACGCCGCGACCCGGCCUGAACCGGCCUCCGGCCCCCGCGCGGCACCACUGACCGAUAUAGCAGCGACGGGACGCAGCUCAGCAGAUUGACUGCUGCUUUUCACCUGCGUGUAAAUCCAAGCUUUGGCCGGAGAGUGGGAUUGUCCCCGUUCCGUAACCAUUUCAAGCUAACUGCGGCCCGGGCUGAACUAUGGACGUGGACAGCCAAUCUGUGACGGAGAUGUCGGCCAACGUAACCAUGGCAACGGUCAGCAACGUCACAACUAAGGCACCCCUGCCCGACUUGAACGAAAUGAACAGGUUCUCCCCCUCGCUGAUGACGCUGACGGCAGUGCUCAUCGCCACCUUCAUGGUCGUGGGUCUGUUCGGCAACGCCAUCACGAUCGUGGCUCUGCUGAGGUGCCCCAGGGUGCGGAACGUCACCGCCGCCUUCAUCUGCAGCCUGUGCGUGGCCGACUUCUCGUUCUGCCUGCUCGUGCUGCCAUUCGAGGUGUCGCGCUUCGCUAACGGCCAGUGGCUGUUUGGCGACGGUUUCAUCUGCGUUCUGUUCCCUCUGCUGCGCUACUGGAACGUGGGCUGCUCGCUGCUAUCAAUCGCCAUGAUAACCAUCAACAGGUUCGUGAUGAUCGCCUUCAACAACGUGUACAACAAGAUCUACGAGCGGCGCUGGGUGGUGGUGCAGAUCCUCUUCAUCUGGGGCUACAGCUUCGGCAUGCUGGUGCCGACCCUGGCCGGACAGUGGGGUCGGUUCGGCUACCACCCUCUUCUGAUGACGUGCACGGUGGUCCGUGAUGCCAACGGAAACUCGGCCAAAAAGGCGCUCUUUCUGAUCGGCUUCCUGAUCCCCUGCAUUGCCAUCGUCAUCUGCUACGUGGGCAUCUUCCUCGUCAUCGUAUUGUCGGACCGCAGAAUGCGUCGCCACAGCGUGAAGGCCGGUGUCAAGGAAACCACCCAGCAGAAGAAAUCCAGGGAGGAGCGCCGGCGCAAAAACGAAAUGCGCAUCACCAGGAUGUCGCUGGUGAUCUUCCUGACGUUCCUGCUUUGCUACCUGCCCGUCACCGUCUCCAAGAUCAAAGAUCCGUUCGUCAAGUACCCAGGUCUGCACAUCCUGGGCUACAUAUUGUGCUACUUCUCCGCCUGUGUCAACCCCAUUAUCUACGUCAUCAUGAGCAAGCAGUACCGACAGGCGUACAAGACGGUGCUGUUCUGCCGCCGCCCUCGCCUCUUCUCCGACAGCUCCAUGCAGUCGAAGGAAAGCAAGUCGCGCGACGGGGUGAUGGGCUCGCGUACCUACAUGUCCCAGGUCUCCAACGACAGCGUGUCCGGCGGCACAGCCAUGGAGGAGCUGCCGGACGUGUUUCCCGACCCCAAAGACAACCGGAAGUGAGCGACAUCCGGCCGGAAGUUGGCGACUUCCGGUCGAGUUCCGGGUGUGUCGAUGACGUCACCUCCGAGCUGGACCACAGCUGGAGGACAGAGGAGUUGGAGCUUAGUGAGAGGACAGACAAUGCGAGCACCAGGUGGCACAGAACGCCAACAAACGCUGACACACAACGGGGUGACGUCACUACUGGUCACUAUCACGUCACUGAUCGCGAGUGUCAUCGGAGCGAUCAAGGGGUUACUUAAAAAUGCGUGAUUGUUGGACUGGAACGCCCAUUGCUGACUGGCAAAGUGAUUGCGUUUACGAGGGUGAAUGUCUCUGAAUUGAGUGUGCACGAGAAACUAUUUUUGCGUUUCUCAUUGAAUAAGAACUAAAAGGAGGGCGAGCAUGCACUGCUUAUUGUUGAUAGGCAAACACGCAUAUGGCGGCAUUUAUGCGGGCAUUGAGAAAUGUUUCACAUUUCCGCUCAGUAUGCACAAGUUUUGAUGCUGAGUUUGGUUUAUACGUGCGUCAUUUUCCGCCCAUCGCUUGCUUUUGAAGUUGAUGUGUAUUGUGUGUUGAUAAUGAACAACAAAUUGCAGAAGGAAUGGCGAACCCGUCGACAACAAAAUGCUGAUACCGCUAUGUGAUAUCUGUGCUUGGUGUAAUUAGGAUAUAUCGAGUGAGGUUCGUUUAGAGGGAUGCGUGUUAUGACAAUCAGUGUUUAGUAUUGUUAGACAUCAGAUUUUAUAAACAAUCAGUGUUGUCUGAUGAGUGCAGGCCCAGACGAGGACAUCAUACAAGAGGUGCCUACAGAGCCGUUAGUACUUAGUGCUGUCUUUACCAUGCUCUUUAAUCGUUUUUUAAUCGUUUAUUUUUAAUUUGCUUUGUCGACUAUGAAGUGAAGAUUUACCAUGAUAUACCUACUAUGCUUUCCUAUGAGGCUCAGUCAUUCUUCGUGCACAAUGAACAGAAGAAGACUUCGAAGUUAUGUAGAUAAAAACAACAAUAAUGCAUUGACGUAUGAACGGAGUAAGCUAAGUGUGUUGGCGUUGAUGAUAUGGACGUAAGGAGCCUUGCUGGGUUUCACGACUCUUCUUCUCCCUUGCUUGCAGACAUUAUACGAGCUUAUAGGCAUGUUUUUGGUCUCGCUGGCUUAGAACUUCAAAAUAUGUAUGAAAAAACAUAUGCCUGGCACUUGGCAGUAGGCAACGUACAUACCUAUAGAGCCUGUGUUUGCUGUUGGUAUGCCCAACUGCGGACAAAUAAAAUGUGCAGGCCGUG
rnacentral:misc_RNA from 1 species